rnacentral:lncRNA from 1 species
GCCAGCUGCAGAUACGUACCCACAUGGAGGGUGAUGAGGGACCAAGGAGAGCCCGAUGUGCUUUAGCUUUUGGGGGCAGAGGCUGAGACCCAGAGUCAGGGCUUUGUGAGGAGUCCUCCCUUCUGAUCCUCCUUCCCAGAGCAUGGAGCCCCCAGACCACUGUCUCACCUCCCUGCACCUGUGCCUGCCGUGGAUGGCACCCUUGAUCCCUAGGGGUACCCUGAAAAGAGAGGCAGAAUGGGUAUUGACUGCAGGCAGUUUCCAACCCGGCCCCUCACUCUUGGUCUUCCUUCUCCUAAGGCCUCACCCCAAAUCAAAGCAGGGAAAGGAGCCUGCCUCCUAAGCCACUCCCCAUAAUCCUGUUGGAAGCCACCAGCCUCUGCGGACACUGACUUGGGAACCAGAGCUGGGGUCAGUUCCUGGGGUUUCAAGGCUCCAGGAGCCCUUGGGAGGCAGGUCGGGGCUGGUGGAGGCAGGACAAAGUGCCUGGCACUCCCUCCACCCCAACCUGACCUGUGGGAAGCCCCCGGCAGGGGGACUGGGAUCUGGGUGGCAGCAGGAUGCAGGUGGGGGAGGGGGACUCAGUCUCAGGGGCUGGCUGAGGCCUGGGCGUCCCUGAGGUGGCUGGGGGUCCCUGGCGGAGACCCUCGGGGGUGCGUGAUCCAGGCGGGCCUGAGGGGCACCUCUAUCCUUCCACUGAAGGAGGAAAGAGCAAGCUGACCGGGCUCCGGGGAGCUCCAGGCGGAUGCAGAAGAGGAGAUGCUCACACUCCGGAACAGUGAAGGAGACUGGGACCCUUUCUCAGCCGCUGCCAUCCGACGGACGCUGCUUCCCCCCUCAGAUUGGGGCCUCUCUGGGGCAGGGGGCUGCCUCCCCUUGGCGGGGGGACCUCUGGCCAGGCAGGAGGGGCCGCGACUUCCGCGUCUGCCCAGAGGCGCCCGGCGGGCGGCCCCCCCAGACCAGAGGUUCCCGGAGCCAAGGCGCUGCCUCCCCCACCACCGUGGAAAGUUGGCCUAAUCAAUGAGGCCGCACGCUAAAUAAAUCACUCGAGGGGCUUAGAGCAGUGUUUUUGCAGCGGCUGUAAUAAUAAUAUUAAUAACAAUGCCCCUCAGAAACCUGGCAGAGGCUGCACUUGCGGGCGGGGUGGGGGCGGGGGCCACGCUGGCGCCCCUGCCCCCCGGCCUCUGCCCACCCACUAGGCCCCGAGGCCACCCAGGGCCUCCUGGGGGGCUUUGACCCAGCCCCCACCCGGGUGGCACACAUGUUGGGGAGGCGGGGGCAGCUGGAAGACCCCCAGAGAUACCCUGGCCAGAGGGGGCCAGAGGGGGCCAGAGGGGGCCAGAGACAAUGGGUGGAGGGGGAAUGAGGGAAGGGCAUGGGGCAGGGGUGCCUGGGGGAAGAGUGGGAACGGGAGCCGGAGACCAUCCAGGCUGGUCCAGGCUUAGCCCCUCACUUCUGAGGACCUGUGUCCCCGCCGCCCAGCCCUGACUGGUUCCCCCCACACACCCCGAGCCAGGGCCCAGGGAGAGGUCCCAUUCUUGAUCAUCCACGUGUUCUGGUCAUCUGCGUGUUCUGUUCGUCCACGACCGUCCCCAUGAUCCCAGGCUGAGUGUGGUGAGUGGGCACCGAAGCU